rnacentral:lncRNA from 1 species
ACUGUGAAAUACUCAGAGCGGCCCGUCUGGCACCAACAACCAUGCCACGCUCAAAAUUGCUUAAAUCACCUUUCUUUCCCAUUCUGACAUUCAGUUUGGAGUUCAGGAGAUUGUCUUGACCAGGACCACACCCCUAAAUGCAUUGAAGCAACUGCCCUGUGAUUGGUUGAUUAGAUUAUUGCAUUAAUGAGAAAUUGAACAGGUGUUCCUAAUAAUCCUUUAGGUGAGUGAAUGUGGUAACUUGAAACUACCAAGGAUCUUUGUAAAUGGUUGAAAUGUUGAGCUCUUUCGCUGCUAUUGUGCACAGCACAUAUUACCUUAAACAACAAGCUGGUCUUUAUGGAGUAUUUUUUGCCUUUCCAUUGAUUUGAGCCAAAGGAGACAGAGUCUGGUGUAGAUUACCAACCCAGGUGUUGCCAUUCACCAACCCAGGUGACCACACUUGGUGAAAACUGCUUGUUUCACCACUGCCCAAAGUUGCCAUACUGAAUGUAACAUGUCAAACUAAAGAGAGUGUCCAAGAUUUAGGUAUACUAGGCUACGUCCGGUCUAUGAGACCAAGUUGAUCUGGCUCCCUGUUCAUCUAUGGGAUUAGCAUGCAAAACAACCUUACAAAAUCCCAAAGUAAAGUUUUAAUUAUACCCCUACAUUGAUUUUAAAAAAAUAACUUCAGUCCACAAAUCACUAAUUUCCCCUCAAUUCCACGACAACUAUGGUCAAUAAAUGCCACCGCUUUCUUUUGACUUCCUCUUGCGUGCGCGUCCGUGUUUGCGACGGGGUUACGUUGCUGAUGAUAUGGUAUCUGGUAUGGUAAGAAAAGUGCAAUAUAAAUUCAGUUGCCAAUAUUGCAUGCAAAAGUACACGUUUUUUGUUAGUUUUCUGCAGCUGCGUAUGUUCCUCCACUACAUUAUAAUAUGGCUUUAACAGAAAUGUGGUAACUGUUCCUCCCCCGGUGGUGUCUUGGGACGAGCUCUCUUUUUCAUACAUACUUUUUUCACGGCGGACAAAGAUCUCGCGCACGGCUUUCCAUUACGCUGCAUUUGUUUGAUGUGCGGGUGACGAUGGGACGCGCUCUUUCAUGCACCAAAUGGUCCCUGACUGGAUGAAAUCUGCUAACUUCUCCAAUCGAAUGCUUGCAGGUAUGAUUAACCGUAAUUUCAAUCAGUUUACGUCACAGUCAAUAAUAUAUAGACAGGUCAGUCAUUACUCAUCGUUGAUCGUCAAGUCCAGUUAUCCCUUACAUUAUUUACUUUGCAUUGUGUAAUUUCCUGAGUGAUUCGUUCUUACUUUGUCCACAGUGAUUAUAGUUUUAUCACCAUAUGCAUCAUCCGACUACAGCCAAUUUCAAAUAA